CGUAACAUUUGGAGGCCCCAGCGAGAUAUAUUUUAACCCUCGGCAUCUUCCGAGGCUUAUCGGUAGAGACAAGGUCCGACUACCGGUCUUCCCCCAGGGGGGCGCGCAUGAGAGACGUUCCUCAGCCCUGGCGGAGAACCGAGUGGUCGGGCUUCGAAAUUCAAAAAUCUGCCUCUGGAGCCAUCUGGACGUGGGCCCACAAUGCCCACAUAGUAUGACUAUCAACUACUUCAGCAAACACUUUUCACGUCAGAAGAGGAAGAGAAUCCAUGCCCAGGGAAGGAAACUAGUCAUGGGGCCAGACAAUCUACCUACCAUGGAAGCAGACUGCCUUGAAACUGUUUUUCUUUUCACCCGACCUCGGUGGGACCCUAACAUGAAUUAAGGUAAGGAGGUUCUCGAACAGUACUGCCAGACUCUAAUGGGGGCUCUCCGAGCAGCAGCGCAGAGGCCGACAAAUAUGUCCAAGGUAACUGAGGUAACUCAGGGAGCCACUAAGUCCCCUGCCACUUUUCUAGAGUGCCUCCAGGAGGCUUACCAAUUAUACACCCCUAUAAAUCCAGAGGUGCCAGAAAACAGGUGAGCAAUUAAUAUUGCUUUUGUCACCCAGUCAGCCCCAAAUAUAAGGAAAAAAUUACAGAAAUUAGAAGGCUUUGAGGGAAAGGUACUAAGCCAGUUGGUGAAGGUUGCUCAACAAGUUUUCACUAAUAGAGAGUGUUCCGAAGACUUAAAUAAAAAAAAAUGGCAAAGGUCCUACUUGCCAUGAGUGAAAACCAGGCAUGGAAUAAAAACUGAAAAAGAAACCAAAAAUUCAAAAAAAAGUUGGGAGGAGGUAAUAGACUGUCCAGUAAGAAAGAAGGAUGAAGAGGGCCCCCUCUAAGCCAAAACUAAUACACAUUCUGUAAAGAGGAGGGAGACUUUCAGACUCUAAAAAAGGCACUCACUCAGGCCCCAGCCUUAGCACUCCCAAAUCUCAAAAAGCCAUUCCAGCUGCAUGUAGCCAAGGCACAAAGGGCAGCAAAAGGAGUGUUAACACAGUGCUUGGGGCCAUGAAAUGGGUCAUAGCCUAUCUUUCAAAACACCUGAAUCUAGUUGUGGCAGGCUGGCCUAACUGUCUACACAAACAGCCGGUAUGUGUUUGCCACUGCAUAAGUGCAUGAAACCAUCUACCAGGAAUGUGGUCUCCUAACCUUCAGAAAAAAUAUGCCUGAAGCAAAAAAAUGCUUUCGCCAACCAGACGGCCAAAGAAGCAGCCCUAAAACCGGUGGGGCCUCUUCAAGCUUUGCCCCUCUUACCACCCCGGGUACUAAAAGCUACUCUAACUUAUUCAAACUCUAAUAUUCAGCUACUUCAAAAUCCUCCUACCAGAAGCACUGGGAAGAAACUUAAUUUUCCAAACGCAUCAAAGUACACACUUGAAAAGGACAAAAUUAACUAAACUGCUAAAAACUGACUUUUACAUACCUAAGCUUUUUCAGGUAGCAAAAGAAGUAAGGAAAAAAAAUGUCACGUCUGUGCUCAAGUCAACUCAAGUCAUGUAAGUACCCCUGCUGCCCCAGGUCACCGCCCAAGAGGUCAACUUCCAGGAAAGCAAUAAAAAAUAAACUUCACAAAACUGCCUCCUAGACCAGGGGAAUACAAGUACUUACUUGUGCUGGUGGACACCUUCUCAGGAUAAGUUAAAACCUACCCAACUCAGUCAGAGUCAGCUCAGGUAGUAGCUAAGAAGGUAUUAGCCAAAAUUAUCCCUCAGUUUAGCCUACCAAUAGCAAUGGGGUCUGACAAUGGUCCGGCUUUUAAAGCCCAAAUUACUCAAAAUUUAGCAAGAGCAUUAGGAAUUGAAUGAAAGUUACACUGCAUUUACAAACCGCAAAGCUCAAGGCAGGUAAAUAAAUAAAUAAAUAAAUAAAUAAAUAAAUCGAACACUUAAAAACCCUCACCAAACUUAAACUAGAGACUGGCGGGAACCGGGUAAGUCUCCUUCCGUUUGCCUUGCUCAAAACUAAAUGCACUUCUUAUGUAAAAGGUAUUACCCCUUAUAAAGCCAUGUUCAGCAGGCCACCCCCACUUCUCCCCAAAAUAGGGGAGGAACAGCUCGCCCUUUUAACUAACUCUAAACUUCUCAAGUCCUUACAGGCCUUGCACUAUAACUCCAGAAACAACCACUGCACCAUCCGUGCCCACCACCCGAAACCUGACACCGUGAGAACACGGACCCCUAUGACUAACUCUUUGGGGUAAACUGGAACCUGGAACUUACCGGAAGCGGUCAAUAAGUACCUAGGUGGGAGACAUGCGGAAUUGUGAAGCUUUGGCUGUAGAAACCUAAACUUAAAACAGGAACUAUAAAAUAGUCAGCACUAUAUUUGUCCACUAAAAAGCAUCUCAACAGCAUGUGGAAGAAAAAUAAUUAUUUCUUUUACAGUUAGGGCUGUAAAACUAUAGCUCCAUAAAAAAAAAUGUAACCCAUCUGUUAAAGGUCACAAAAAAUAAAAGGCCAGAAGCUCCUACUAAAAAUUGUGCAAUUAAAAGCUGUAACCCUAUUACUUUUAAACCACAGCAGAUUUGAAAAAAUUCCCAGUGGUUGGAAAAAAAAAAAAAAAACGUAGAAAUUGUGCCUUUAUGUAUCAAAACUUUAAGUAACUUUCAAGAACAAAAAAAACAUGUUUCCAGUCCCCUCAAUUUCCCCUAUCUACUUCUCCUUAUGCUAAUUCCUGUACCUCGGUACUACUCUGGCAAGGGAGGUAGAAAGCACCUCGGGCUAACUAGCCUCCAAUGAGUCAACCGAAAAGAACCAGUGUUAGUGCCGGUACUCCUCGGGGUUGGGGCAGCCAGGGCAACCACAGUAGGAACCACAGCACUUGUUACAGGGGACCAAAAUUUUAAAAGCCUUAGUACUCAGAUCGACCAGGAUCUAAAAACCUUAAAAGAGAGUGUUACUAAAUUUGAGGAGUCCUUAAGCUCAUUAGCAGAAGUAGUGCUCCAGAAUCAGAGGGGACUCUACCUUGUAUUCUUAAAGCAGGCAGGGCUUUGUCUAGCCUUGGGGGAAGCAUGCUGUUUUUAUACUAACCAGUCAGGUGUAAUUAAAGAAAGUUUAAGCCAACUCCAAAAGAGAAUAAAGGAUAGAGAAGAGCAAAGGAAAAAGGAGGCAAAUUGGUUUGAAAGUAUAUUUUCUCAAUCUCCAUGGUUAACUACCUUAAUAUCAGCAGUUGCUGGACCCCUGGCUCUUAUCAUGUUAGCCUUAAUCAUAGGCCCCUGUGUUAUAAACUGUUUAGUUAAAUUUGUCCAACGACGUAUUCAAAGUGUGAAGCUUAUGGUUUUGCAGUCCCAAUACUAAUAUCAAUUCUUACCCUUGGAAGAAACAAUGAUUUGAUUCUCCCUAAAAACCAGUGGGGAAUGAAAUGGGCUCCAUCUCCUUAAUCUGUAACAAGAGAGUCCCCUUCCCCCUCAACCGGUAAUGACUGCAAAGUAAACAUUAAAGCCGUGAGAGGAAGGAAUUGAAACUGUGCCAUUUUAGGGAGUGAAACUGUGCCAUUUUAGGGAGUGAGACUUGCAGAUGUAUGCAUUAGCCAAGCGUAACCGUUCCAAUAAUUAACCAUUGCACCAGCCUUGAGAAAAUUUCUCAAGGUUGCUAAAGAUCUUAAGCACCUAUUAAUUAACCGCCAACUCUGCUUUUGUCAAAGUAGCUUGCUUGCAUUUUCAGGAUGUGAUGUCUGCCUAUAUAAGUCUCAAGAACUCUCCGGUCCCUGCUGCUGCUUACUAAACUCCCUGCGUGGAGUGACAGGCGGCAGCCGCCAGCUAGCUGACUAAUAAAGGCUCUUUUAAAUUC